CCUACGGGGGGCAUCAGUGAGGAAUAUUGGUCAAUGGACGAGAGUCUGAACCAGCCAAGUAGCGUGAAGGAUGACUGCCCUAUGGGUUGUAAACUUCUUUUAUAUGGGAAUAAAAUGUUCCACGUGUGGGAUUUUGUAUGUACCAUAUGAAUAAGGAUCGGCUAACUCCGUGCCAGCAGCCGCGGUAAUACGGAGGAUCCGAGCGUUAUCCGGAUUUAUUGGGUUUAAAGGGAGCGUAGGGGGAUUGUUAAGUCAGUUGUGAAAGUUUGCGGCGCAACCGUAAAAUUGCAGUUGAAACUGGCAGUCGUGAGUACAGUAGAGGUGAGCGGAAUUCGUGGUGUAGCGGUGAAAUGCUUAGAUAUCACGAAGAACUCCGAUUGCGAAGGCAGCUCACUGGACUGCAACUGACACUGAGGCUCGAAAGUGUGGGUAUCAAACAGGAUUAGAUACCCGAGUAGUC
rnacentral:rRNA from 1 species